rnacentral:rRNA from 1 species
GGGGGAAUAUUUGCACAAUGGGCGCAAGCCUGAUGCAGCCAUGCCGCGUGUGUGAAGAAGGCCUUCGGGUUGUAAAGCACUUUCAGUCGUGAGGAAGGUAGUGUAGUUAAUAGCUGCAUUAUUUGACGUUUAGCGACAGAAGAAGCACCGGCUAACUCCGUGCCAGCAGCCGCGGUAAUACGGAGGGUGCGAGCGUUAAUCGGAAUUACUGGGCGUAAAGCGCAUGCAGGUGGUUUGUUAAGUCAGAUGUGAAAGCCCGGGGCUCAACCUCGGAAUAGCAUUUGAAACUGGCAGACUAGAGUACUGUAGAGGGGGUAGAAUUUCAGGUGUAGCGGUGAAAUGCGUAGAGAUCUGAAGGAAUACCGGUGGCGAAGGCGGCCCCCUGGACAGAUACUGACACUCAGAUGCGAAAGCGUGGGGAGCAAACAGGAUUAGAUACCCUGGUAG